ACGUACCACCCGAACGUUAUUCGGAUUUACUGGGCUUAAAUAGUCCGUAGGCGGCCAAGUAGGUUGGGUGUGAAAUACCUCGGCUUAACCGAGGAGCUGCAUUCAAAACUACUUGGCUUGAGAGAGACAGAGGUGAGCGGAACUGAUGGUGGAGCGGUGAAAUGCGUUGAUAUCAUCAGGAACACCGGUGGCGAAAGCGGCUCACUGGGUCUUAUCUGACGCUCAGGGACGAAAGCUAGGGGAGCGAACGGGAUUAGAUACCCCGGUAGUCCUAGCCUUAAACGAUGAGCACUAGAUCGUAGGGACCUCCACAUCCUUUCGGUCGUAGGGAAACUGUUAAGUGCUCCGCCUGGGGAGUAUGGUCGCAAGGCUG
rnacentral:rRNA from 1 species